rnacentral:rRNA from 1 species
AUUGAACGCUGGCGGCAUGCUUUACACAUGCAAGUCGAACGGUAACAGGCCGCAAGGUGCUGACGAGUGGCGAACGGGUGAGUAAUGCAUCGGAACGUGCCCAGUCGUGGGGGAUAACGCAGCGAAAGCUGCGCUAAUACCGCAUACGAUCUAUGGAUGAAAGCGGGGGACCGUAAGGCCUCGCGCGAUUGGAGCGGCCGAUGUCAGAUUAGGUAGUUGGUGAGGUAAAGGCUCACCAAGCCGACGAUCUGUAGCUGGUCUGAGGACGACCAGCCACACUGGGACUGAGAACCGGCCCGGACUCCCACGGGAGGCAGCAGUGGGGAAUUUUGGACAAUGGGGGCAACCCUGAUCCAGCAAUGCUGCGUGCAGGAAGAAGGCCUUCGGGUUGUAAACCGCUUUUGUCAGGGAAGAAACGCUCUGGGUUAAUACCCUGGGGUAAUGACGGUACCUGAAGAAUAAGCACCGGCUAACUACGUGCCAGCAGCCGCCGUAAUAC